UACGUAGGUGGCAAGCGUUGUCCGGAUUUACUGGGCGUAAAGGGUGCGUAGGCGGCGGGGCAAGUCGGAUGUGAAAUCUCAGGGCUCAACCCUGAAACUGCAUUCGAUACUGCUCUGCUCGAGGACUGGAGAGGAGAUUGGAAUUCACGGUGUAGCAGUGAAAUGCGUAGAUAUCGUGAGGAAGACCAGUGGCGAAGGCGGAUCUCUGGACAGUUCCUGACGCUGAGGCACGAAGGCCAGGGGAGCAAACGGG
rnacentral:rRNA from 1 species